rnacentral:lncRNA from 1 species
CAAGCCCACAAAGUUUUCCGCUUCUACUUUCAGAAUUUCAUCAUCAGCCUACAUAAUUCUGUAUGUAAUGAACACACAGGCCAAAUUCUUGCUUCCUCCCACAGCACCUCAGUGAAAAUGCUCCCAGUGUGCAUCUGUUGUUUCGGUGUUUUUUCUCCAUCGUACUAGUUGCUGUGUUAGUAAAGCUCAAGGCAAGCUUCAGUCUUUGUCCUGCUUGUGAGAGCCAGAUAACUACUUCAAGAACUGGACAUCAAAUCCUGUUUUUCUUCCAGUUCACCCCUUCAGUGUGGAAAAUGGAGGCACAGACUGAUUUAAUAGAAAAGGAAGCAAGGAGCAGGAACAAAAAAUUAGGUAUGUGUAAAAGAAUGUGCACAAUGUGGGAGAACAGUCUAUUUUCCCUGAACUUUUUAAUUUUCCCUGAGGUUCUCUGCAUCAUCCGUUUCUUAGGAAGUCACAGCUGUCUGAGUUUACAGAGACUGAAGCAGGACAUUUGGGGAUUUGUGAAAAGCUGA